UACGAAGGGUGCAAACGUUGCUCGGAAUUAUUGGGCGUAAAGCGCACGUAGGCGGCUUGGCAAGUCGGAUGUGAAAGCCCUCGGCUCAACCAAGGAAGUGCAUCCGAAACUGCUGAGCUUGAGUACUUAAGGGGAUCGCGGAAUUCCCGGUGUAGAGGUGAAAUUCGUAGAUAUCGGGAGGAACACCAGUGGCGAAGGCGGCGAUCUGGGAAGAUACUGACGCUGAGGUGCGAAAGCGUGGGGAGCGAACAGG
rnacentral:rRNA from 1 species